UCCAAAUUGGUGCAGUGGGAGCAUUCGAGCAUUUCAAGUCUGUUUCGGCAGAUCCAUCGCUCGAGACCGGGGUUCGAUCCCCCGAUUUGGGA